rnacentral:rRNA from 1 species
AUGGGGGAGAGCCGCGGCAGCAUCUUCUUCUUCGGGACCUACAGGCCACCUGUGCCCCUGGACAUCUUCUCCUGCCCGGCUGAUCCGCCGCCGUCAUCUGCCGAGGACGAGCUUCUCCUCACCGACGACGCGUCGUACAACCAGAACGGCCGGCCCGUCCCGCCGGCGGCGCUCAAGGAGAUCCUGGGUUUCCUGCGCAAGACGAACCCCGAGCUGGCCUCCGACUGCGGCGCCACCCUGGAGGACGUGGACGCGGGCCACGUCACCGGCAUGGUUUUCGUCUCCGAGAGGGACCGCGGCCUUGAGACGCUGCACCUAGCCCUGCGCCGCUCCACCGGCGGCGAGGUGAAGGUGCUGAGCCUGCUGGGCGACAUCUAUGGCUUGGACGAUUUAGGCGUGCGCAUGGAGGACAGCGGCUGCAUCGCCGGCGGCUACAUGGUGGAUGGCGUCACCGUGGGCCACUCACUCGUCUACGUGUCCACGAAGGAGGAGGUGAAAGCCCGGCGCACCCCGUGGACCGUGGUCUACAGGACCGACCUUGCCGAUGGCAAGACCGAGCGCCUCACUCCACAAGGCCAGUACGAUCUGAGCCCGGCCGUGUCGCCGUCCGGGAAGAUGGUGGCGGUGGCCAACUUCCAGAAGAGCGAGUGGAACGGCGAGAUCGAGAACCUCAAGACCGACAUCGUGAUCAUGGAGGUGCACUGGCGAGGGCUGGGGGGCGAUGGCCGCAGGCGUGUGAUCAAGGACGCCGGCUGGCCGACCUGGGGCAGCGAUAACGUCAUCUUCUUCCACCGAGGGUUCGACAAGACGCCGCCCACCAACACCGCAGACUGGGCCGUGUUCCGAUACGACCUCGCGGCUCACAGGGAAGAGCGGGUCACCCCGGUGGGCAUCGACGCCAUGACUCCGGCGGCCAUCAGCGAGACCAGAGUGGCCGUGGCGACCGUCCGACAGAAAUCCAAGCAAGUCGAAAUGAUGGUGGAGCGCGUGAUGGAUCAGUACCGGCACGUGGAGAUCUUCGACACGACAACCCCUUCGUGCAAGCCGCCCUCUGUACAGAUCACCCAGAGGAUGAGGCCGUUGGGAGACCACUACAACCCCUUCGUGCUCGAUGGCGGCAGACGCAUCGGCUAUCACCGAUGCAGAACUGACAAGCUCACUCCGCACGGUGAGCAGAAAAGCAUCGAGAAGAGGUUUGACAAGGUGCAGUCGGGCGAAUCGGAGGUCGGGCUGUAUAGGGUGACGGGCGUGUUCCCGUCCAUCUCCAAGAACGGCAAGAAGCUGGCCUUCGUGGACAACGAGUUCCAGGCCGUGUGGCUGGUGGAGGCCGACAGCGAAGCCGCCCCGCGCAUCGUCUACAAGGCCAAGUCCAACAAGAGCGUCUUCUCCACGUCGUGGAACCAGAACGACGAGCUGGACACGCUCUACGUCUGCGAAGGCCCGGCUUUCAGCAUCGAGAAGCCGGUGCAGAUCAUCAGGAUCCCCAACGUGUCCACCCACGACCCCGAGGAGCACAAGUUGAAGUCGUUCGCCCUCACCGACCACAAGUACAACUGCGCCUUCCCGUCCACCAACCCGGAGGGGACCAAGCUCGUGUUCCGCUCCAGCAGGGACAGGGUCCAGGGAGGGAAGAGGGAGGACAAGAACCUCUUCAUCAUAGACGCGGAGAAGGGGGAGUACGCUGGCGUGGACCAGCUCACCAAUGGGCCAUGGACAGACACCCACUGCAGCUGGUCACCCAGGGAAGGCUGCGACUGGAUCGUCUUCUCCUCGAGCCGCGGUAAGCCGGGUGGCGCGCCGGCGUCCGACCACGGCUUGGACUCGGGCUACUUCUCCGUCUACCUGGUGAACGCCAAGGACAUGGCCGAGGGCGUGGUGCCGGUGCGGGUGAUCCACAGCGCGCCCACCAUCGCAGGGCACGUGAACCACCCCGUGUUCAGCCCGGACAUGAUGAGCAUCGUCUUCACCGCCGACCUCGCUGCCGUCUCCGUCGACCCCAUCUCUAUGCCGCACUUCAUGCACUCGGUCAGGCCCUACGGCGACAUCUUCUCCGUCGAGCUCCUCGACAGGGAGGACAUGGCCAAGAACAAGGACAUCCACAAGUACCACCGGAUCACGCACAGCCGCUACGAGUACUCCACGCCUACGUGGUCGCCCCACACCGACGGCGAGCAAGAUCCCAACACCAGGUGGAAGAUGCUGGAGAGAGUCCCGUACAUCACGCCACGGUGCCCGUACGCGCGCGGCCAACAUGGCGAGAAGGAGGGCUGGCACAUGACCGGCCACCUCAUCAUAGACAAGAGGUCCUGCUGA